AGAUGACGCCAUUGGCGCCAUAUUGGCUCGAAACUAUACUCGGCGAUGCCGCGUAUCUACGCGGGUUUGCGAUUCACCGUUAGCGCAGGAUGAGCGAGAAAAUACAGGAAGAAAAGGGCGUGAAUCGCGCGGGGGCACACAGGAACUUUUCCCCCCUUUUCUCUCUCUAUCUCUCUCUCUCUCUCUCUCACACACAUACACACACACGCUCUCUUCGCUGUUACCUCGCCGUUCCCUCCAAAUGGACUUCCAUCGUAGGAACGAUACUCGUCAUGGACGGAGCCAGGAAACCAAACAGAUCGAGUAUGCACGCGGGGCGAGACGUUCGGGGCCAAAGGACUCGGAAGUUACGACAUCCGGCACACAAAUUCGCUUCCUGUCGAUCGCCUGACCUUUGAUCUUCGUCCCAUAACUGAUUCUGCUUCUGAUGGCAUCUCGUUCGCAAUGUAAUCUAAUCGAUCGAUGGAAAAAGAAAAACAAAAUUAUGAUAAUUUAUUAGCAGAAACAUUAACGGCAUCUGACCAAGUGAAUAACGGAAUACAUAUGUAAAACGAUAGAAGGGGUUAUUCUUUGUGAUUCCGAAAGUCAAGACUUUUCACGCUCGGAGCGAAGAGACUUUCCACGUGCCACAUCGCUCUUUCAAAAACGUCAACAAUAGAUGGAUUGAUUCUUUUGGAUCGUCGAGAGAAAAGCUCUCGGCGAAAGGACAGUCUGCUGGAUCCCUUAUUUACCGUUCGCCGGCCCAAUAUCCUGGGCACGUCACGUGCGCGUGGAGCCAAGAAUGCGUACAUAUGUACAUCGACGUCGUCGAACGCCGUCGUCGGGGUCGUUGAACGAGCAGGGGGGUAUUCACGGCGAGGACGACACUAACGACCGCGCUGGAGCGCACCAACCCACUUGUGUCGACCCUGGACACGAGUCACGUGCGUACGUAUACGUACAGAGCCGACAAUAAUACGAUCCGGAGGGUGUGACCCGUUCCACAUGUCUGACUCUUUUUCUCUCUUUCUCGGUCUCUUGUUCUCUUCGCGCUCAUCUAUCUCUGUCUUUCUCUGUGAUUGUUCAGAUUUGAAUCAUUUUCAAUUUAAAGAAUAUAAAUAUGUGAUAAGAUUAAAUUUUUGUCACAUUAAUAUUCUUUUAUUUAUAGAACAUAUAUACGCGUUGUAUUUUCAAUUAUAUUUUUUUCUAAAUU